rnacentral:rRNA from 1 species
UACGUAGGGGGCAAGCGUUGUCCGGAAUCAUUGGGCGUAAAGCGCGUGUAGGCGGCUGAGUAAGUCUGCUCUGAAAGCCCGGGGCUCAACCCCGGGAGGCGGGUGGAUACUGCUCAGCUCGAGUCCGGAAGAGGAGUGUGGAAUUCCUGGUGUAGCGGUGAAAUGCGCAGAUAUCAGGAGGAACACCAAUGGCGAAGGCAGCACUCUGGGACGGUACUA